rnacentral:rRNA from 1 species
CAACCUGCCGUCUACUCUUGGACAGCCUUCUGAAAGGAAGAUUAAUACAAGAUGGCAUCAUGAGUCCGCAUGUUCACAUGAUUAAAGGUACUCCGGUAGACGAUGGGGAUGCGUUCCAUUAGAUAGUAGGCGGGGUAACGGCCCACCUAGUCUUCGAUGGAUAGGGGUUCUGAGAGGAAGGUCCCCCACAUUGGAACUGAGACACGGUCCAAACUCCUACGGGAGGCAGCAGUGAGGAAUAUUGGUCAAUGGGCGAGAGCCUGAACCAGCCAAGUAGCGUGAAGGAUGACUGCCCUAUGGGUUGUAAACUUCUUUUAUAAAGGAAUAAAGUCGGGUAUGGAUACCCGUUUGCAUGUACUUUAUGAAUAAGGAUCGGCUAACUCCGUGCCAGCAGCCGCGGUAAUACGGAGGAUCCGAGCGUUAUCCGGAUUUAUUGGGUUUAAAGGGAGCGUAGAUGGAUGUUUAAGUCAGUUGUGAAAGUUUGCGGCUCAACCGUAAAAUUGCAGUUGACACUGGAUAUCUUGAGUGCAGUUGAGGCAGGCGGAAUUCGUGGUGUAGCGGUGAAAUGCUUAGAUAUCACGAAGAACUCCGAUUG